GUGUGUGUACACGUAUAGUGCAUUUUGCUUUCUGUACAGCUUUUAUAUAUCAUGCAGUUGCGCCAUAUUCUCUGUAUAUUGAUUUUUUUGCCCUUUUUUGAUAUAUACUGUAAAUAUUUUAUAAGGUGCAGCAAAAUAUAGCUACUGGAAUAUGAUAUGUAGACUUUGUUUCGGAUGAUGUAUUGUGAAUGUUUUUAAUCUCAUGGAAGCUAAGUUUUGAUGCC
rnacentral:lncRNA from 1 species